rnacentral:rRNA from 1 species
GACGAACGCGGGCGGCGUGCUUAACACAUGCAAGUCGAACGGAAAGACCCUGCUUUUGUGGGGUGCUCGAGUGGCGAACGGGUGAGUAACACGUGAGUAACCUGCCCUUGACUUUGGGAUAACUUCAGGAAACUGGGGCUAAUACCGGAUAGGAGCUCCUGCUGCAUGGUGGGGGUUGGAAAGUUUCGGCGGUUGGGGAUGGACUCGCGGCUUAUCAGCUUGUUGGUGGGGUAGUGGCUUACCAAGGCUUUGACGGGUAGCCGGCCUGAGAGGGUGACCGGCCACAUUGGGACUGAGAUACGGCCCAGACUCCUACGGGAGGCAGCAGUGGGGAAUAUUGCACAAUGGGCGGAAGCCUGAUGCAGCAACGCCGCGUGCGGGAUGACGGCCUUCGGGUUGUAAACCGCUUUCGCCUGUGACGAAGCGUGAGUGACGGUAAUGGGUAAAGAAGCACCGGCUAACUACGUG